GAGGGCAUAGCUCAAUGGUAGAGUGUGUGCUUAGCAUGAACAAGGUGCUGGGUUCAAGCCCCCAGUACCUCCA
rnacentral:tRNA from 1 species